UACACUCCUACGGGAGGCAGCAGUGGGGAAUUUUGGACAAUGGGCGAAAGCCUGAUCCAGCAAUGCCGCGUGAGUGAAGAAGGCCUUCGGGUUGUAAAGCUCUUUUGUCAGGGAAGAAACGGUGAAAGCUAAUAUCUUUUGCUAAUGACGGUACCUGAAGAAUAAGCACCGGCUAACUACGUGCCAGCAGCCGCGGUAAUACGUAGGGUGCAAGCGUUAAUCGGAAUUACUGGGCGUAAAGCGUGCGCAGGCGGUUUUGUAAGUCUGAUGUGAAAUCCCCGGGCUCAACCUGGGAAUUGCAUUGGAGACUGCAAGGCUAGAAUCUGGCAGAGGGGGGUAGAAUUCCACGUGUAGCAGUGAAAUGCGUAGAUAUGUGGAGGAACACCGAUGGCGAAGGCAGCCCCCUGGGUCAAGAUUGACGCUCAUGCACGAAAGCGUGGGGAGCAAACAGGAUUAGAUACCCGAGUAGUCCCA
rnacentral:rRNA from 1 species